rnacentral:rRNA from 1 species
UCGGUAAUUCCAGCUCCAAUAGCGUAUAUUAAAAUUGUUGCCGUUAAAAAGCUCGUAGUCGAACUUCGGGCUCUGUCAGCCGGUCCGCCUUCUUGGUGUGUACUUGUUUGACGGAGCCUUACCUCCUGGUGAACGGCGAUGUCCUUUACUGGGUGUCGUCGCAAACCAGGACUUUUACUUUGAAAAAAUUAGAGUGUUCAAAGCAGGCCUUUGCCCGAAUACAUUAGCAUGGAAUAAUAAAAUAGGACGCGCGUUCCCAUUUUGUUGGUUUCUGAGAUCGCCGUAAUGAUUAAUAGGGAUAGUUGGGGGCAUUUGUAUUCCGUCGUCAGAGGUGAAAUUCUUGGAUUGCCGGAAGACAAACUACUGCGAAAGCAUUUGCCAAGGAUGUUUUCAUUGAUCAAGAACGAAGGAAGGGGGAUCGAAAACGAUUAGAUACCGUUGUAGUCUCUUCUGUAAACUAUGCCAAUUGGGGAUCGGUACAGGAUUUUUAAUGACUGUAUCGGCACCCGAAGAGAAAUCUUUAAAUGAGGUUCGGGGGGGAGUAUGGUCGCAAGGCUGAAACUUAAAGGAAUUGACGGAAGGGCACCACCAGGUGUGGAGCCUGCGGCUUAAUUUGACUCAACA